UACAGAGGGUGCAAGCGUUAAUCGGAAUUACUGGGCGUAAAGCGUGCGCAGGCGGUUAUGCAAGACAGGUGUGAAAUCCCCGAGCUCAACUUGGGAACUGCACUUGUGACUGCAUAGCUAGAGUACGGUAGAGGGGAGUGGAAUUCCGCGUGUAGCAGUGAAAUGCGUAGAUAUGCGGAGGAACACCGAUGGCGAAGGCAGCUCCCUGGACCUGUACUGACGCUCAUGCACGAAAGCGUGGGGAGCAAACAGG
rnacentral:rRNA from 1 species